CCAGGAUCCACCCUUCCCAGACCUCAUUUAAGGGUUGGCAGUGGAGGUGAGGGGAUCUUGUUGAUGAUCCCUGUGUACCCGAGGUCUCCUGAAGGUGAUCCAGUUGAAAUCCAGUUGGACAGAUCUGCGGAUCUCUAAGAUGACUUGGAGGCUACAAAUGCAAGGCUCUGGUACUCAUGGUGUCUUUUACCACCUCAGUACCUUCUGGAAUGCCACAAAGAAAGGCACCAGCAAACCAGGAGGUUUUUGGAGUGCAUCGGUGAUAACUUCGUAACACAAGUGGUUGAGGACCCAAUGAAAGGAGACAGUGCAACUGGGCUGAAAGAAGAACUGGUUGGGGUUAGACUUGGCUGUAGCAACCAUGAGUUAGUUCAGACCUGAAUCUGGAGGGAGCAGACCAAGGCCAGUAACAGAACUGCAGCAGCAGACUUCAGGAGUGCACACUCUGCAACCUGCUUGGAAGAACCCCAUUUAAUGUGGGGAGGAAAUGGAGUUCAGGACAGCUAAUUGAUUUUCAGGCAUCUCUUAUUCCAAGCUCAAUGCUCCAUCCAGCUGUUAAGCAAGAGCAGCAGGAGGCUGCAUGGAUGAACAAGUAGCUCAUGAAAAAACAAAUGAACAAACAAGAAAACAGACAUGGAAACAUAUACUACAAGGCAUUGAAGUGGAAUCAGGUGACCUGCAAGGAACAUAAAGACAGAGCUUAGCACAUAUGGAUGUGAGGUUAGGAAAACCCUGUUUACCUCCUGCCUUGCUUGGUUUGCUUCCUCUGUACUGGACUGAGGCAGUGUUUGAGCUGAGAUGCUGACGUAACCAUAAACAACCUUUAUCGUUUAGCACGGUUCAAAGUGUGGAAUUAUGAAACCAUCUUAGAUUUCAAGGAACUUGGUUUGAUAGCUGGAACUGGAUCCAGUAGACACCCUGUGGAGUGAUAAUAGUGAUAUUUGGCUGGAAGAUGGAAUAAUUAGGCAAGUUUGUAUAUUCACUAGUUCUUCAGAGUCUUAGGGUGUAAACGACAAAUCUUUUAGCAUAUUCAGAAUUCACUUCAAGAUGCUGACAGUGUGGAUCUUACUUGGCUGCCUUUAUAAUGACUUUACUUUUCAUUACUGGAAUUAUGAAAAUGUUCUAGCACACCUAUCUGUCCAGUUUUGAAUUGUACUUAAAGCGAAAGGUGAUAACUCUGGGCUCAGAUAAAGCCCAAAUCUUAUUAGACUUGUCUAGGAGUAGCUUAUCUGCUGUUCUUAACUACUAGCUGCAGACAAAGUAAAAAUGAUUGCACUGCUCUUGAAGGUGUCCAUGAUAUAAUUGCCUGUUGUAACUUAUUAGGGAUGCUGUAUCUAUAUUAAUCUGAUAUUGUAUUUUGCAAUGAAUACUUUUUCAUAAAGAAAAAGAAAGAUCCAUAAGAUAUCUGGCACAUUUAUCCUUAAUGUCUAUAAUUUCUGUUCUAAUUAAAGUGCAAGAAAUCGUGGCAAAUACUGGGGGGAAGAAAGCUACCUACACAGCCCUACUAGGUGAUGAAAACUUGCUUCAUAUGGGAAAUUGUGUUGGUUUUUAUUAAUCAUUUAGAAUUAAAAGGAGGUGCAAAAGAAAUAGUGCUUAAACAAAAGGAUGUGUUGUCCUGUUGUGCUCUUGUCCUUUUCACAUAAAGUUGUUUGGAUUCUUCUUAAGACUUGUGCCUCUGUGGUGAUGUUAUCCAGGUGCUGAAAUGCUGUGUGCCACCUGCAAGAUCUCGUUGUAUUUGGCCUUGAUUUAGAUUUUUGAUUUCUUUUCAAAAAUAAGUCCUAAUGCUCAACUUACUCAUAUAUCAUCCUGAAGCCAUUUAAGCAUGAGUUUUUUUGUUGACCUAUCUGAAAUGCGUAUCUAAUAUGCGACAUGCUGACCGUGACAUGGAAAAAUAGUAAGUGCUUUCUGGUCUUCUGUAAUAUUUAUUUACACUUU